GGAAAAAUACUUGUUAUAAAAAGCGUACUUUGAGGCCGGGCGUCACAAGCGAUCAGCCAGUGAAGACGAUAAGAGCAAGGCAGACGGCGACCAGGUCUUCACUGAGGUGCCAUUGGUCCUCUCUGUCAGGUGGUGGUGUCAGACUGCUCGUACAGCACAUAACACAGCUAUUAGUUUAUUUAGUGUAUAGUCGGAUGCUCGAUUUAACAAUGUAUGGAAGUACAAAAUAAGGAUAUAUUAUGGCAGAAUUCGUCUCGAUCGCUCCAAAUAACCUACAAUUGAUAUUCUAGGGAUUAAAGCCAGACACAAGGUUUUCCUAUAAAAAUACUCGCUCUCCCAUUCCUCUUUCACGGUGCAAACUUUGUUAUAGUUAGUAUUUGUAUUGCGGAUGUGAACAGUGACGUCAAUAUUCAAUAGACUUCGCUUGUUUUGGCCGAUUUCAGUUCUGGUUGGGUUUUUUUUUUCGUAGUAAGUAUAUGAGUAUAUCGUUUUGUAUCUACGAGGGUGGCAGGAAGGAGGUGGAGGAGGGAGGAAGAAGAAGGAGAAAGCACAUCGGUUAGUCAAUGACGUUUUCAUUUCAAAAAUUACAACGGAUAUUAUUAUUUUUUAAUAAAACAACGAAAUGUGUA